GAGACUUGAGUGCUUGGGCUGCAGCAGGACAUUCACACAGCGGCUGCCGCAGCAGCAGCAGCAGCAGCAGCAGCAUCCUCUCGCUUCGCUUCGCCUCGCUUCCUCCUCUUCUAUUCCUCCUGUCCCCCUUCCUCUAAUCUCCUCCUUCCCGGGGACCUGAGCUGUCCGGUCCACAGCAGUGGCAGUGGCGGCAGCGCCCAGGAUCUGAGCCCAGAUUUCAUUAAUCUGAUCCAAGGUCUCCCGUGACUGCCAGCUGAAACAGAGAAGUCUCAGCAUCCUUCAAAGUUCAGCCCAAGUGCCAUCUCCUAUGUGAAGCUUUUCCUGAUCACUCCAGUCACUGGUUCCUCCUUAUUAAAGGUUCUACAGCCUGUUGUCACGAACACAGGAAACAUUGAUUGGAAACUACUCAUUCAGAAAAUUAAAAA